AGUGAACGCUGGCGGUAGGCCUAACACAUGCAAGUCGAACGGCAGCACAGUAAGAGCUUGCUCUUACGGGUGGCGAGUGGCGGACGGGUGAGGAAUACAUCGGAAUCUACUUUUUCGUGGGGGAUAACGUAGGGAAACUUACGCUAAUACCGCAUACGACCUACGGGUGAAAGCAGGGGAUCUUCGGACCUUGCGCGAUUGAAUGAGCCGAUGUCGGAUUAGCUAGUUGGCGGGGUAAAGGCCCACCAAGGCGACGAUCCGUAGCUGGUCUGAGAGGAUGAUCAGCCACACUGGAACUGAGACACGGUCCAGACUCCUACGGGAGGCAGCAGUGGGGAAUAUUGGACAAUGGGCGCAAGCCUGAUCCAGCCAUACCGUGUGGGUGAAGAAGGCCUUCGGGUUGUAAAGCCCUUUUGUUGGGAAAGAAAAGCAGCAGGUUAAUACCCCGCUGUUCUGAGGGUACCCAAAGAAUAAGCACCGGCUAACUUCGUG
rnacentral:rRNA from 1 species